rnacentral:misc_RNA from 3 species
AACGCACCUUGCGCUCCUUGGUAUUCCGAGGAGCAUGCCUGUUUGAGUGUCAUUGAAUUCUCAACCAUGUCUCGAUCGACUUCGAGGCAUGGCUUGGAGUUUGGGAGUUGCUGGCGUCAAGUCAGCUCUUCUGAAAUACAUUAGCGAUGGACGAGCAUGUCCUGAUGUGCACGGCCUACCGACGUGAUAAUGAUCGUCGUGGCUGGAGCGUUCGGACGUCGCAUCUUCAUGGUCUGUUUCGCUUCCAAUCGAGAGUACCCUUCGAACGCUUGACCUCAAAUCAGGUAGGACUACCCGCUGAACUUAA